rnacentral:rRNA from 1 species
AACGAACGCUGGCGGCAUGCCUAACACAUGCAAGUCGAACGAGACCUUCGGGUCUAGUGGCGCACGGGUGCGUAACGCGUGGGAAUCUGCCCUCUGGCUCGGAAUAACUCAGGGAAACUUGAGCUAAUACCGGAUAAUAACUUCGGUCCAAAGAUUUAUCGCCUGAGGAUGAGCCCGCGUCGGAUUAGCUAGUUGGUGAGGUAAAAGCUCACCAAGGCGACGAUCCGUAGCUGGUCUGAGAGGAUGAUCAGCCACACUGGGACUGAGACACGGCCCAGACUCCUACGGGAGGCAGCAGUGGGGAAUAUUGGACAAUGGGCGAAAGCCUGAUCCAGCAAUGCCGCGUGAGUGAUGAAGGCCUUAGGGUUGUAAAGCUCUUUUACCCGGGAUGAUAAUGACAGUACCGGGAGAAUAAGCCCCGGCUAACUCCGUGCCAGCAGCCGCGGUAAAAC